rnacentral:rRNA from 1 species
CAAUCCUGGCGACGAGCGGCGAACGGGUGAGUAAUGCUUGGGAAUCUGCCCAUUAGUGGGGAACAACCAGCCGAAAGGUUGGCUAAUACCGCAUACGCCCUACGGGGGAAAGCGGGGGAUCGUAAGACCUCGCGCUAAUGGAUGAGCCCAAGUCGGAUUAGCUUGUUGGUAGGGUAACGGCCUACCAAGGCGACAAUCCGUAGCUGGUCUGAGAGGACGACCAGCCACACUGGGACUGAGACACGGCCCAGACUCCUACGGGAGGCAGCAGUGGGGAAUAUUGGACAAUGGGGGCAACCCUGAUCCAGCGACGCCGCGUGUGUGAAGAAGGCCUGCGGGUUGUAAAGCACUUUUAGUGGGGAUGAAAAGCUCAGGGUUAACACCUCUGGGUCUUGACCUAACCCACAGAAAAAGCACCGGCUAACUCUGUGCCAGCAGCCGCGGUAAU